AUGCUGGCCGAGGUCCUCCGGCAGGUCGGCGGCUCGCCGCCGGCGUACGCCACGCAGUGGCUGUCGGACGGGUACCUGGCCACCGUGCAGACCACGGUCCCCCUGCGGUGCCACCCUUGGUGCAGGACCGUGCUGCGGGUGGCCGGGGCCGUGGCCCGCGACGUGUGCGCCGCGGAGGAGGGUGCCGCCGACGCGCUGAUCCGCCUGAUGAGGAGCAGGCACGGCGUGCAGAUCGACGACGCGAACUGGUCCCCGGCGGCGAGCAGGGCGCCGCGCCGUGCCGAUACGCGCUGGUUCGCCGGGAGGGCGGCCGUUGUGAACGUUGGGGCGUACGGUGGAUUCGCUUCGCCGUGGUGCCGUUCGUACGACGCAGUUCGUCUCGGUCGGGGUGUUGGCGUAUCCGUGUGGUGA
rnacentral:rRNA from 1 species